rnacentral:rRNA from 1 species
GAUGAACGCUGGCGGCGCGCCUAACACAUGCAAGUCGAACGGUUAAAGCACCUUUUAGGUGUGUAUAAAGUGGCGAACGGCUGAGUAACACGUGGGCAACCUGCCCUCCUCUUGGGGAUAGCCUCGGGAAACCGAGGAUAAUACCCGAUACUUCAAUGUGGCCGCAUGACGACAUUGAGAAAGCUUUUGCGGAGAAGGAUGGGCCCGCGGCCUGUUAGCUUGUUGGUGGGGUAGAGGCCUACCAAGGCAAUGAUGGGUAGCUGGGUUGAGAGACCGACCAGCCAGAUUGGGACUGAGACACGGCCCAGACUCCUACGGGAGGCAGCAGUGGGGAAUCGUGCACAAUGGGCGAAAGCCUGAUGCAGCGACGCCGCGUGCGGGACGAAGGCCUUCGGGUUGUAAACCGCUUUCAGCAGGGACGAGGCGAUAAGUGACGGUACCUGCAGAAGAAGCCCCGGCUAACUACGUG